rnacentral:tRNA from 1 species
GGGCGUUUAGCUCAGCUGGUUCAGAGCAUCUGCCUUACAAGCAGAGGGUCGGCGGCUCGAAUCCGUCAACGCCCA